rnacentral:tRNA from 1 species
GGGGAUUUAGCUCAGUGGUAGAGCGCUUGCCUAGGAAGCACAAGGCCCUGGGUUAGGUCCCCAGCUGGGGGGGGGGGGGAGCUCCAACUGCUCUCCCAGAGGUCCUG